GCUCACUCCUGCCAAAUAGGGAAGUGCGUGGUUUAUGAACUAGAUAACAGUUUCUGGCUGUCCGUGAUGAAAGACACUGAAAUAUGCUACAAUGGAAACUGUGAAGUGUUUGUCUCUAGAAAUUAAGAGUUUUCGAUGUAAGAGGCAGAGGGGAAUAAAGAGGUUUUUCUUGUUCAACAUUUUCCUAUUUUGCUAAACAAAAAGAGUCUGAUGCAAAAUAGAAAAUUCAAUUGCACACAUUUUAUCUAGAUAUUCUGUCACUAACUAUCUUGUUUUUCUUUCCUUUCCAGAACUGUGGAAUGCAUUGAGCUGUUUGCUCCUGUGGGCACAUUUCUGAGUCUAUGUCAUCCCCACCAAAAUAAAUCAUGUUUUAAAUGUACAUGAACUAUGACCAUAGAUGUGCUCUCCCUGUCUCUUCUCCAUCAUUAAGUCUCAGGUAAGUACAAAGCAAAUAAAGGAAAAGCCCUCUAAUGUGCACGGAGAUUCUGGGGCUUUGGAGUGGCUGUGUUAUACUUGAGAGAUGGCAGCAUGCGGGUUUUAGGGAGAAGGCAGAUACCAGAACCCAGCUCCUGCCCUUGAAUUCGUUGUUGCCA
rnacentral:lncRNA from 1 species